rnacentral:tRNA from 1 species
AUUAAGAAGCUAUGAACCAAGCGUUAGCCUUUUAAGCUAAAGAGAGAGGGCCCACCCCCCUCCUUAAUGA